UCGUUGAAUUACGAACGGCACAUGAAAACGCUGAUUACUAUUUUGGUUUUGCGGCUGUGUAUUUUGCUGUAGUUUAUUAAUUUUCAUCAAUUCCUAAAUUCAUUUUUUAUGGAUGUAUAUUUUUAGUAAAACAAGAAUCUCUCAAUACAAGAGCAAAUAUGUCAUCCGAAGAAAAAGAGUUUUUACAGCACUUACUAUCUUUGGAAGCGUUUACCCCAAAGCAAAAAAUUUUGUUUGACGUAGCAGAGAAAAUAUAUGGCAAGAAGAUUAAACAACUGGAAGCGAAAGACCUCGUCGAAUUUUCCAAUGGCGAAGACACUUUGACAGAAAAGGCUUUGGAUUAUUUUAAAUUAGACAUUAGGCCGUAUUCCCUGACCGCUUUUCGUUCAGUUUUGUUGCCCCCCUUCGGGCACUACUUUAAAUUCACAUGAAUCUAUAGAUUUUUAUACGCUG